AUCGUUCAUCUCUCUAAAUGUGCAGGAGAGACGGAAGUAGGGAGCAAUCCCGAAGGAACGCGCC
rnacentral:ncRNA from 2 species